UGGUGGUGUGAAUUGUCUGGUUGAUUCCGUUAACGAACGAGACCUUCUUCUUUCAAUAGCCACUGGAAGAUAUUGCAUUAAGGCUGCGUGGGCUUACUUUUGGUUAGGAUCCGUUCCCCCACUGGGUAACGUACCGCGUAGUUGCUUUUCUUUCCAGGAUGAGCUUCUUAAAGAGACUAUUUGUUGACAAGCAAAUGGAAGUUGUAGGCAAAAACAA
rnacentral:rRNA from 1 species